CGACUGAGUGGCGGACGGGUGAGUAACGCGUGGGUAACCUGCCUCGUACAGGGGGAUAACAGUUAGAAACGGCUGCUAAUACCGCAUAAGCGCACAGUACCGCAUGGUACGGUGUGAAAAACUCCGGUGGUAUGAGAUGGACCCGCGUCUGAUUAGGUAGUUGGUGGGGUAACGGCCUACCAAGCCGACGAUCAGUAGCCGACCUGAGAGGGUGACCGGCCACAUUGGGACUGAGACACGGCCCAA
rnacentral:rRNA from 1 species